rnacentral:rRNA from 1 species
GUAAAAGCAUUCAUCAAUUCCAUACCUUUUAAUCAAGAACGAAAGUUGGGGGAUCGAAAGUGAUUAGAUACCACUGUAGUCUCAACCAUAAACGAUGUCAACUAUGGAUUCGUUUUGAUCAUAUUUGAGGCUUCCGAGCUUCAAUUUCGACGAAAUGAGAACAUUGUGAGAAAUCGAAGUUUUUAGACUCU